rnacentral:lncRNA from 1 species
CCUGCAGGCGUCCCGAGGGGCAGGAUCGUCUCCGGAGCCGACCGUGCCAGGGCUGGGCCACGGAAGGCGGAGCUGCAGCAUGUGGAGGCCCUUUGUGGACAGGUGCACGGGCCCAUCUCUCUCCGAGGCGCUACCUGCGGUUUACUGGACGUUUAUUAGAAGCCCACGCAAUAUCGUGAAGCACCUGCAGGCAAUAAAACCCUUUACAUGUGUGAGGCCUUGAGGAAAUUAACGGCUCCUCCCUGGGGAUGCAUAUUUCGUGAAGAUGUUUAUUACAGAUGAAGUGCUCCCGGGGUGGAACAUUAACAAGUUGUAGAGUGAUAAAAGGAUUUUUAUCCUUUUUCAGUGACAGAGGUAGGAAGAACGCUUUAACGGAAUCUAUAAAAGGCCCACUUCCUAAUGAAUUUUCUUUACUCUUUAUUAAUAGGGUCGGCUGAGCGGAGUCAGGGUCCUUGGAUGGCUGGACCACUGGACAAGGGGAAUGGAGCCGACUGGAGCGGGUGCGGGGCCUGGAUGCUGGACAGAGAACGCGUGAGGACGGUCUGGGUUCGAAUUCCAGGCACUGAAGACCACGGGGAGCCUGGGUGGGUGAUGAACACGUUCCGCCCCAGGAAAUCAUUUGGAGGCCGCUCCAGGUGAUGGGGGCCAACGUGUGACCAGGCACAAAGGAGAUGCUUAGUGAACACAUCUUGACAUGAACUAAAAGAUACGGUGAUAUUAACAGAGGGAAUGCCAUUUGACAAGAACCCGAAGGCCAUCUGUCAAAGGGAAGCUUCUACAGGGUGCCGGAGAUGCUGCCCUCAACAAAACAAACACGUUCCUACCCUCCUGCAUCUGCCCCUCCAGGGUUUGGGGAACUUCCAGAAGUUGGGUGUGGCCAGAGAGUCAGAGAGGGAGGGGGUUUGGAGAGCUGGAGCAGAGUUAAAUCAUCCUGUGCCUUGAACGUCAGGCUAAUGAAUUUGCACUUUACCCUGUGAUCGACGAGAAGCUGUUGAAAGCAUGUGGCAUAGUCAAAUUUCAGUUUUAGAAACAUGCCCUGAAAUGGCACCAGGCCCAGAUGGUUUUAUGAGCUCUCACAAAGAAUAGAUAAUUCACAAGCAGUUAAUACUUACUAGGAAAAGAUGGACUAUUUCCCUUAUAAUUUUAUGAAGCUAAUACAAUUCUAAUGCCAUAACCCAACAAAGACAGCACCACAAGCCCAAUAGACCAAUCGCAUCUGAAAUAUUGAUGGGGAAAUAUGAAAUCAAACACUACCAAAGAGAAUCUAGUGGCACAUUAGAAGCAUAAUACACCAUGAUUAAAUAGCAGGAAUGCGGGUCCAAGAAUGCAUGGCCAACAUGAGGAAGAGCCACUUACAUAGUCCAUUAUACUCAAUGCCCAUUCUCAAUUUAAAUAUUAUGCAGAC